UCAUGAUCUCACAGUUUGUGAGUUCCAGCCCCACAUCAGGCUCUGUGCUGACAGCUUGGAGCCUGGAGCCUGUUUUGGAUUCUGUGUCUCCCUCUCUCUCUGCCCCUCCCCCACUUAUGCUCUGUCUCUCUGUCUCUCAAAAAUAAAUGAAAAAAAAAAAACAAAAAAAAACAACGAAAACACAGGGCCCUAACCCAAAUCAAUAGGGUCAGAGUCUAUGUAGGUGGGACCCUGGCAUCAGAGUAUUCGCUUGCUUGCUUAUCUCUCUCUCUCUCUCCCUCCCUCUCCAGGUGACAUAAAAGAACAGCCAGGCUGAGGACCACGAGCUAGAAGCAAGCUGCCGCAUCAGCAGACAAAUACACUCCGAUGUUCUGGUGGAUCAUGGCCGUCGCCCCCUCCAAAUAUACCAGCCAGAGCCUCCUCUUCUCAUUGUAAAAGGGUGCACCACCCAGUUAAGCAUCCCCUUCCCAGUACCAAAAAGAGAAGGGGUGAACACAUCGCACUCUCCUUCAAAAAGUUUCAGACCUUCUUGUGGGGGGAGGAAGAGACAUCCAAAAUGGAGGUCUGUUCCAUCCAGGAUCACUGAAUCCAAGUUCAGCCAGAAAGUCCCAACCAGCUGGAGGCAACCCACACAAAGCCAAGAGUAAGUCUGCAUAUUCCAAAGACUCCAGCCCACCUGCUGAGAUCCUUAACACAAGUCAUCACCAUGACAAUGAACCAAGGCUGUGGGAAGAUUGGGCACUGUUGUCGUCUGUUUUCCCCUACUAGUGUGGGAAGUGUUUUCCUACAGGAUGGACCCUCUGGUAAACAAAGUUUGCAUGACUGAUAGGAUUACUCCCUCCUUGCUCUGGAAAAGAGUACGCAUCCAGCCAUGACUUAUUAUUGCCUCUUAUGACACAUGUCUGAACAAAGGCCAAGGCAAGAGUUAAAAAUAAAUAUGUCAGUAGGUGGAAGAAAUUCCAAACCAAAUGCUUGAUUUCUAAGAAGUUCUAGGGAAAACACUCCAUUUGGAAACCAGGCGGUGUGAUAAGGCAGAUAAGAACCCUGGUCAUGUGUUAUUUGUAAGGUGAUUAGAUGGCUAAAUAGUUGCCAAUGAGUAAGAGGAACUUGAGAAACUAUUAGUAAACACGGUUGUUAUGACCUCAUGUGGUUGUUAGAAAAAGAAACGAAAGUUUGGAUUAGGAGUUCAGGCUAAAGGAUAAAAUUA
rnacentral:lncRNA from 1 species